rnacentral:lncRNA from 1 species
ACGCUGGAAGGUGGCGAUUUCACUGGAGAAAUUCCUGUAAGCAUUCUGCUAUCGAAAAGUUUUAAGAUUUGAUGAUGUUAAUGAAUUACUGAGGUCUACGUUGUGGAGACUGAUGAACUUCGGUGAAAUAUGAGCAGAAUGAUAUCAAUCGAAUGAAGUUCUUGAGUUCAUUGACCAUCCGGAAUACUGCUUUCCUGGGUGCCAUUCCCCAAGCAAUAGCCGACCUUCGCAACCUGAAAACCCUGUGAGCUCAUUCAGAACAUUGAAGACGUCUCAUCAUUCUCAUAUCUGAAAACUUUGAUUCGUAGCAUCUGGUUACGAUUGUCAGGGGAACUGAUUGAGGUGUGCAUCUCCUUUCAGAAUCGUUGCAAACAACCCGCAGCUGAACGGUACUUUUCCGACGUGGGUGAUGAGCCUCAAGAACCUUGAGCAGCUGUGAGUUUCUCCGCACUUUCAUCCGCACUGUCGAUAGUUCGGCGAUUCAUCAACUGCUUGAUUUGUGAUCUAAAAGAUGAAUGCUGUGGUAAUUCUGUAGGAGCUUGGCGGGGAACAAUUUAACGGGCUCUAUAAUCGGUUGUAACAACACAACACAGGCCAAGUACGCGUUCUGAACACCCCACCAAUUAAUUUUAGACUCCACUUUCGCCAAUUGAAGAAAAUGCUCCAUAUGCUUUAAAUGUUUGAUGUGAACUUGCUGGCAUGCGAUUGAUUGCGGUGCUCGGUUGGUGUGUGGGUAGAAACUUCUCGGUACCGGUUGCAGGUGGAGUCACGGUCGAAGUACCGUCGCCUUACACCGAUCUAGUGAAUGUAACGCUUCCGAAUGUGCCGGUGCUGAUGUUCAGGCCGCAGAAUGUCACUUUGCCCACUGUGGCCAUCCCCAUUCUGAUGUUCAACACACUUCCGAAUGUUUCUGCACCGUAAGAGUUUUCCAUCUUAUCUCCCUCGAUUUCACAAGUCGUCUCAAGCACUGAAUUGAAGUUCGGUUUCACCAUUUUUCGUCUAGCAAUGUGGAUUUAAACAUAGUGUGAAAUGGUUGUGGCAUGAUGAUGCAUCGGGAGCAGAAACCUGACGGAUGUCACGAUCACGAGUCCUCUGUAAGAUGUCGACGACUCUUACCCCACGAUUCUGUCGGUCUGCUCAUGGAGCUCUAAUACCGAGCCUUCCUGAUUCAAUUGUUGCGAUUGAUGUCGUGAUUGAACACAUAGUUUUAUUUUGUUUUGUGGAAAAGACAUCACAUCAGCUCUUCGAAGUGAAGGAGAGUGGUUCCUAAGUUCCUCUUGUUAAUGCAAUUGGUGGAUUUCUGUUAAGCAGGGUAUUCAUGUGUCCUAACGUCUCCAUCCCAUCUCCUUCAAACAUGUACGGUAUUCUUCCACUGUGUUCUUUCAGCUUGGCCGCAUGCUCAUCUAUCCUGUACCCAUGCAUCGUGAGAAUACUGCAUUACUGAAAAUCCUUAUGUGGCACUUCGUACUGCAGAACCUUGCAUACUUCAAACUGGACUAUUCAACCCACGUUGCAGCCGCUGUAAGCGUCAUCUCUAUCCUUCGCGAUUAUUGCUAUUACAUGCUGAAAGAUAUGCUUGUAAUUGACAAUGUCACUCAAAUUUUGGGUUGUGAACUGCUUGCAGCAACUGGACGCUAGAUUUCCCGAACCUUUCGCCCCCGUAAGUUACAUGCACAUUUUUAAAGUUUCAAGCCGCAUCUUUAAAGUUUGCACAAACUGAAUUUCGAUCACUACCGGCAGAACUUUGCUGAUUUUAUCAAUUGGUUGCACUUAUGAGGAACUGGACAUACAUGAGUUGGUGUCGCAGGAUAGCCCGUGUGAGGAAUUUUACGUGGCCAACUCUGCCCGCGUCGUAAGCCCUCGGAUUACUACAUCCCUCUUCUUAUAGAGCAAUUUUCCGUUUUAAUAAUUUCCCACACAACAGAAAAAUGUCAUGGAGACAGAGUUCGCACAGAUCUUGGUGGUGCAACUCGAAUAGCUUAAAUCGACGCUUGUCUUCGAGGCAGCCUAUUUCUCUGCAUUAAACAUGUUCAUUAUUCCUCAAAGGCAUGUAAUUGUUAAUUGAUCCAACGUUAUUAUGCUCCUUGGCGCAGGAACAAGUCAAACUUCACACAGCCAUGGUAAUUAGCCUCUGACUUGACACAUCUAUUCUCUAAACUGCAAAUACGUCGAAGAGUUGAAACUUGCCCAUCGAGGCAUAAUCUCUACUCCUGUUAUCACGAGAUCAGUAAAAAAACAGCAUUCUAAACCCACAUCGCAUGAGUUUGCAACCGAAUAACGUUACCUAAUGUUUAGAGUUAUGGUUUGAGGGCCGCAGGAUUGUUGUGACUGCCACCAUGUUCAACUGGUCGACGUUUGCCUGGUAAUUAGCUAUUCUUCGGUAAACCUCGUUUGUGAGCUUAGCUUCGCCCUGUUCGAAAUUUUGCAAUGGGGUUAUUGGAGAAACUAGAAUUAUCCUGUCUCUACGUAGGUGUUGUGUAUGGUGAGAAAUCUUUUCCACUGAUUUGUGGGUUGAGCGUCGAAUUUCGCUUUGAUCAGGAACAUCUCUGAAGGGCCUUCAAUCGAUGUGCCUGGCGUUGAGAAACCAGUGCGCUGUGUGUAAGUUUCACUGCUUUGAGUUUGUGCAUAUAUAUAUAGUUCUUGAUAAUUUUAUCAUUUGCAGCAGUGUCAGUAAGUACGUACGUAUGUGUGUGUACAUAUAAAUGUACUCAAUAUAAUUUACCAAUGUUAAUCAUAGUGUAAGCGGAUAUGCAGAAACGUUUCAGUUCCAAAUCCUUUCCCCUGGACUUCUCCAGAUAUUUCUAAAUUGUGAGAUACAAUUCUCACCACAUUGUAUUUACUAGAGAGGUUCAUUGAGAUAGAGUUCAUUUUGAUUUGUAUGUUUUAUUGUAUCUGUUGAAAUUUGCCAUGUUUAGGAGCUGGCAUUUGGUGUUUGUAUAAUGGAGUUUAUUUAAACUAUUUUUAAGAUGUCGUUCAUGAUUUGUGUCAAAAUUACCCUUUAGACAUGGAUGAACAUAUAAAUUAAUAAAUAAAUAAAAAUUGCAUUUUAAUAUGUGAAUGUUGAUGAUGUAGGAACUUCACAUUUCCAGUGUUUCCGCCUUCACAGAGGAGUCCAUGGUUCAGUGUUAUAAACAGAACCACCUUCCCACCUCUUCCUUCUAUUCCUUGGAAUCCUUUUAAAUUUGGUCUAUCUCCUCUACCUCAAUUCCAACCACCUAAUUUUACAUUUCCUGAUCUUCCUCCCUUGCCCCAACUUCCUCCUUUAAAUUUCACAUUACCUCCUUUACCCCAACUCCAUCCUCUUAAUUACACAUUUCCACCUUUGCCCGAAGUGGUCCCUCCUAAUAUCACAGUACCACCUUUAUCUCCUCUUCCUUCCAUUCCACCUCUCAUAAAUGACCCCGUUUUUAACAUCUCAAAUAUUACUUCAUUCCCACCGUUACCAAGUGUUCCACAAUCUCCGCCACUUCCCCUACCAAAUAUCACCUUACCAACAUUUCCACCCCUUCCACCCCUCAAUUUCCCCUCUUCCAAUGUGUCUAGAUUUCCUCCCAUUUUUAACACUACUUUUCCAAAGUUUCCACCCUUGUCUCCAAUUCCAGGACUCCCAAGUGUGGGUGUUGGAGUGAAUGGUAGUGUGGGUGUUAACACCACCAUUCCAAGUGUUGGAAUUAAUGGAACUGUUUGUGCAAACGCAACCACUCCGCCAAUUGGGUCACCUCUUUCGGGUACCAUUAUCAAUUCUACAAUCCCUUCACUACCACCUAAUUUUACAUUUAGUAAUCCACCACUCCCUCACCUUAUGGCUCCUAAUUUCACCUUUGUGUUUCCACCUUUGCCUCACUUCACACCACCCAACUUUACUUUCCCACCUCUAAAUCCUAAUUUUACACAUUCCAACUUUACUCUUCCACCACUUCCCGAGUAUACUCCACCUAAUAUAACAUUGCCAUCAAUCCCACCUUUGCCUCAAUACACACAUCCUAAUUACACCUUGCCCACCGUGCCACCAAGUUAUGAGAUUUUGCCCCCAAAUUUCACAUUUCCUCCCUUGCCUCAAAUUGUUCUACCAAUUAAUCUCACUCUUCCUCCAAUUCCUCCCUUCAUACCACCAAAUGUGACUCUCCCACCUCUUCCUACUAUUACUAAACCUAAUUUCACCUUUUAUGAUAUUCCACCUUUGCCACAAUAUGAGCCUUCUAAUUUAACUUCACCUCCUCUUCCAGAACUCACACCUCCAAAUUUAACGUGGCCAUGGCCAUGGUCCAUUGGAAUUAAUCUCACAAAUAUUACUAUUGGGGCC